rnacentral:rRNA from 1 species
UAGGGAAUCUUCCGCAAUGGACGCAAGUCUGACGGAGCAACGCCGCGUGAGUGAAGAAGGAUUUCGGUUCGUAAAACUCUGUUGUUAGAGAAGAACAGCGCAUAGAGUAACUGUUAUGCGUGUGACGGUAUCUAACCAGAAAGCCACGGCUAACUACGUGCCAGCAGCCGCGGUAAUACGUAGGUGGCAAGCGUUGUCCGGAUUUAUUGGGCGUAAAGCGAGCGCAGGCGGUCAAUUAAGUCUGAUGUGAAAGCCCCCGGCUCAACCGGGGAGGGUCAUUGGAAACUGGUUGACUUGAGUGCAGAAGAGGAGAGUGGAAGUCCAUGUGUAGCGGUGAAAUGCGUAGAUAUAUGGAGGAACACCAGUGGCGAAGGCGACUCUCUGGUCUGUAACUGACGCUGAGGUUCGAAAGCGUGGGUAGCAAACAGG